rfam:Fungal sp. No.14919 DNA, contig: Contig0003.
GGUGAGAUGGCCGAGUGGUUAUGGCGGUGGUCUCAAGAGAAAUCUUACGCUAUCUAAUAAAUAGCGCAGUAUGCCACUGGAGCAAUCCUCAGGGGUUCGAAUCCCCUUCUCAUCA